CCCCGUGAUGCUCCCGUGCGGAAUGAAAUGCACGAAUGCAGGUAAAGGGCUUAGGAAGUAUUCGACGGAUGCUAACUGAAAUAAUGCCACAGUCUUGGGUUUGUACUUAGAAUCCGCCAACAGCAUCCAGGUCGGGAACGCUCCCUGGUCCACUUACGUUUUGAGUUUUAGGUAGCUGUUCCCGUCUCCGGUGUGGUUGGAAGAAGAACCUCCCUCCUUGGCUGUCCCUUCUGCGCGGUUCUCGGUGUCUGGGCUGUCCGGACGGAGCUGUUAUUUCCACGUGGAGGUCUGGGUCUGUUGGCCACAGGGCUGCUGCACAGGUUGGGACUGCCGGCUAGGCCAGGAGACCUGGCAGCUGCGGACUCUAUAGCUUGGAGCAGCUCUUCUUUGACCUCGCAUGGUGGAGAAGCAG
rnacentral:lncRNA from 1 species